rnacentral:rRNA from 1 species
AGCAGCCGCGGUAAUUCCAGCUCCAAUAGCGUAUAUUAAAGUUGUUGCAGUUAAAAAGCUCGUAGUUGAAUUUCGAGACCGGUUUACUGGUCGUGCUUUUGUACGUACUGGUAUUAUUGGUUUCUCCUUUCUGACGAAUCAUAAUGCCAUUAAUUUGGUGUUUUGGGGAAUCAGGACUGUUACUUUGAAAAAAUUAGAGUGUUUAAAGCAGGCUCACGCUUGAAUACAUUAGCAUGGAAUAACGAAAUAGGACGUUUGAUUUUAUUUGUUGGUUUCUAGGAUCGACGUAAUGAUUAAUAGGGAUAGUUGGGGGCAUUAGUAUUCAAUUGUCAGAGGUGAAAUUCUUGGAUUUAUUGAAGACUAACUACUGCGAAAGCAUUUGCCAAGGAUGUUUUCAUUAAUCAAGAACGAAAGUUAGGGGAUCGAAGACGAUCAGAUACCGUCGUAGUC